rnacentral:lncRNA from 10 species
GUGAGUGACAGUUUUUAAAUCCAUUACCAUUAGAAAACCACAGGUUUUAAGAAAAUUUUAUUUUCCAUUUAUAUUGAGGUACAAUUGACAUAUAGUAAAUUUCACCCUUUUAAGCACACAGUUCUUAGAAUUUUGAAAUACAGUUAUGUAACCACCACCACAAUCAAGAUACACAACAGUGCCAUCGGCCCCUAAAAUUCCCCCAUGCCUCUUUUGUAACCAUCCCCUCUUCAAACCGCAGCCCUUGGCAACCACUAAUCUGUUUUUCUUCCUGUAGUUUGGCUUUCUUAAGAAUGUCGUAUAAACUGAGUCAUGGAGUAGGUAGCCCUUGGUAUCCUGCUUCUUUCAGCUAGCAUAAUGCAUGUGAGAUCCAUUCAUGCUGUUGUGCAAAACAGUAGUUUGUUUCUUUUUAUUGCUGAGUAAGGAUUUUAUUGUAUGGAAUGUACCAGUUUGUUUAUCCAUUCUCCAGUUGAGAAACAUUUGGGUAGUUUUUAGUUCCUGGUGAUGACAGAUAAAGCUGCUGCAAACAUUCAUGUGCAUAUUUUCGUGAGGAUGUAGUUUUCAUUUCACUUGAGUAAAUGCAAAGCAGUGAGAUUGCUGGGUCAUACAAUCUCGUCCAGAAGUAAUAUACGUCAAGAAAGAAGAGAUUAUAAAUGUCUAGCAGGGACUGUUAGAAAUAUAUUUGGUGCCCUUGAUGAUUUCUCAAUCAAGACAGGGAACACUGAGGUACAACCACAUAGAGCAUCGGAGCUGCUACGGUAAAGGGGAAGGAGAGAUUCCUACUCUGGUUGAUGACACUGGAUCCUUGCAAGCUGGACAUCUCGGAACAACAGACACAGCUGUUCAACCUCAGAGGUAUCCUUCUAAUUAAAAUAUCUGACCAUGUCCCCAUCAGCCACUUGCCUCAUUUGGGACACCACCAACCAUCCUGCACGGCUGCCCAUGUUUCUGUUUCUCCAGCCCAAGCAUGCAGUUUCAGUAGGUCCUUCAGAGGCUGCCUGAAAGCAUCCCGCCUCCAGAGCCCUGUGGGUUGAAGACCGCUGUGCUCUUUUCUUUCGGCUUCACACGCUGGUUAGUCUUCUGUUUGCUUUGUCAGCACGGUACUUUUCAUUUCCUUCGUGGUGUUUUUAGGAGCUCCUGAAUUUCACAGACAAAUCCAGACCCCUGUGUGGAAAGCCUGCGGUGGUGUUCUCCGUCUUCCCACAGGACUCCCUGCAGCCAGGAAUUCUAGGGGAGCACCUGACGCGAGGUAUACGCCCAGAUGGCCUGAAGUAACUGAAGAAUCACAAAAGAAGUGAAAAUGUCCUGCCCCGCCUUAACUGAUGACAUUCCACCACAAAGGAAGUGUCAAUGGCUGGUCCUUGCCUUAACUGAUGACAUUCCACCGCAAAAGAAGUGAAAAUGGCCGGUCCUUGCCUUAACUGAUGACAUUACACCACAAAAGAAGUGAAAAUGGCCGGUCCUUGCCUUAAGUGAUGGCAUUACCUUGUGAAAGUCCUUUUCCUGGCUCAUUCUGGCUCAAAAUCACCCCCACUGAGCACCUUGUGACCCCCACUCCUGCCCGCCAGGGAACAAUCCCCCUUUGACUGUAAUUUUCCUUUACCUACCCAAAUCUUAUAAAAUGGCCCCACCCCUAUCUCCCUUUGCUGACUCUCUUUUUGGACUCAGCCUGCCUGCAUCCAGGUGAUUAAAAGCUUUUAUUGCUCACACA